AUUGAACGCUGGCGGCAGGCCUAACACAUGCAAGUCGAGCGAGCGACGGACGGGUGAGUAAUGUCUGGGAAAAUGCCUGAUAGAGGGGGAUAACUACUGGAAAAGGUAGCUAAUACCGCAUACCAUCAGAUGUGCCCAGCUGGGAUUGGCUAGUGGGUGGGGUAACGGCUAACCUAGGCGACGAUCCCUAGCUGGUCUGAGAGGAUGACCAGCCACACUGGAACUGAGACACGGUCCAGACUCCUACGGGAGGCAGCAGUGGGGAAUCUUGGACAAUGGGCGCAAGUCUGAUGCAGCCAUGCCGCGUGUGUGAAGAAGGCCUUCGGUUUGUAAAGCACUUUCAGCGGGGAGGCGUUACCCGCAGAAGAAGCACCGGCUAACUCCGUGCCAGCAGCCGCGGUAAUAC
rnacentral:rRNA from 1 species